AGAGUUUGAUCAUGGCUCAGGAUGAACGCUAGCUACAGGCUUAACACAUGCAAGGUCGAGGGGAAACGACAUCGAAAGCUUGCUUUUGAUGGGCGUCGACCGGCGCACGGGUGAGUAACGCGUAUCCAACCUGCCCACCACUUGGGGAUAACCUUGCGAAAGUAAGACUAAUACCCAAUGACGUCUCUAGAAGACAUCUGAAAGGAGAUUAAAAGAUUUAUCGGUGAUGGAUGGGGAUGCGUCUGAUUAGCUUGUUGGCGGGGUAACGGCCCACCAAGGCGACGAUCAGUAGGGGUUCUGAGAGGAAGGUCCCCCANAUUGGAACUGAGACACGGUCCAAACUCCGUAGGGAGGCA
rnacentral:rRNA from 1 species